AACAGCUCAAAUUGGAAAUCUGGCGCAAGCCCGAGUUGUAAUUUGCAGAGGAUGCUUCAGGCCAGCGACCGGUCUAAGUUCCUUGGAACAGGACGUCGUAGAGGGUGAGAAUCCCGUAUGCGACCGGUUGGCACCCGUCACGUAGCUCCUUCGACGAGUCGAGUUGUUUGGGAAUGCAGCUCUAAAUGGGAGGUAAAUUUCUUCUAAAGCUAAAUACCGGCCAGAGACCGAUAGCGCACAAGUAGAGUGAUCGAAAGAUGAAAAGCACUUUGGAAAGAGAGUUAAAAAGCACGUGAAAUUGUUGAAAGGGAAGCGCAUGCAACCAGACUUGUCGGCGGUGUUCCGCCGGUCUUCUGACCGGUCCACUCGCCGCCGGCAGGCCAGCAUCAUCUGGGCGCGCCGGACAAAGGCGCGGGGAAUGUAGCUCCUCGGAGUGUUAUAGCCCCGCGCACAAAACGGCGCCGCUCGGGUGAGGUCCGCGCAUCGGCUAGGAUGCUGGCGUAAUGGUUGUCUGCGGCCCGUCUUGAAACACGGACCAAGGAGUCUAACAUCUAUGCGAGUGUUCGGGUGUCAAACCCCUACGCGGAAUGAAAGUGAACGGAGGUGGGAAGCGCAAGCUGCACCAUCGACCGAUCCUGAUGUCUUCGGAUGGAUUUGAGUAAGAGCAUAGCUGUUGGGACCCGAAAGAUGGUGAACUAUGCCUGAAUAGGGUGAAGCCAGAGGAAACUCUGGUGGAGG
rnacentral:rRNA from 1 species